CAAAGCUGACCUCUGCUCUGUUCAGCUCCUCAGGACUGAGGUUACUGUUAGGACCUGAUGCUGGUGGUCGGUGGAGGAGCAGACACAGAGGUCCAACGGCUCCAGAAAACAAUUUAUAUGGGAGCCCAGUAAACGGAUGGUCCUGUACACAUCCCAUCUACAGAGAUACCAACUGUCCUAACAGAUAUAGAGGGCAAGCUACCUACAGGGGGGUCCUACAGACAGGGUGGUCCUAUAUACAGGAGGAAAACUGCACAUGCGGUGUCCCAGUACCAGAGUGCGUCCUGUCAGAACGAAAACAGCUGAACUCCAUAAGGACAAAAGAAGAAAAACACCACAAAAACAAGCUGGAAAUAAAACCUUAGGAAUGUGCAGAUUUGGUAACCACAGAUAGAUGUCUGCAUUUCCCAUCUGGGGUCCCGGCAUGGACAGAAAACCAGCUGAGAUCAUCCGAAUGUAAGAGUCAGCGACAGCUCCGCAUCUGUUACGCAUUAGGGAUAAUUCACAUUUGGCUUCGCCUUCGGUUCUUCCAGCUCGUAUUGGAUACACUAUACAUGUGAACAGGACAAAUAAACGAAAAACACCCUAUUCAUUCACUGGCAGCGCUCUGUAUGUGCCGGGAUACUGUGUAACAUAAUAUAAAGGCCUAUAGGGGGGGAAUAUAACCCUCAUCAAUACGGAAUGAACAGCAUCACGUAUAAACAUGGAAGGAAACGUACAACACGUCCCACUCUGGAUACGGUCGGAAAAAUAAAAAAAAAUGUCUUGUAACUAGAAUGAAA